rnacentral:lncRNA from 1 species
CUCAAGAAGUUUCUACUCAUGCUAAGUGGUUUCAACUAUUUACACUGGCAAAAACAGGUCAUGCAGAGGAAUGGGUUCAAAUACGAAAACAUGUAGCAAUUGAAUCGUUGUUGUACUAGUGCAGUAAAAGAGAGCAGGAGCGAGAGAGUGGGUUUAUAUUUGUAUGCUCAAGGGGGGUGUAUUGCCUGACAGUUCUGAAAAUAGUACUUCUCUUCAUUAAUGUCAACAGUCACAUCGUCGGAACCAUCGUUUACCGAGAAGGAACAACACCUAAAAACAAGAGAAUAACACAUUCAAUGCAAUGUAGCAAACAUGAUGUAUGAUAUGGCAUGUUAAAGCAUUGAAUUGACCUAUUGCAAUAGAUAAUCAUAUUAAGCGAAGUGGAAUUCAAAUAUAAAUUAAAUUCCAACUCCGACUAAUAUUUAUCAAAUUGUCCUAACCAUCACUUUCCUUACUUAGUGAUGUUAGCUUGUUCAAACAUGCAUGAGCAUGGCAUAAACAGGUUCCUUGCAUUUUUGUGAUCAUUUUCAUAUAUAAUUUAAUUUCAUUAGAGUUACAGUUUAUUUUCUAUGAAUUUUAGAAAUUUUAAGCAUUUUUCAAAAUAAUUAAAUCAUUUAUUGCGCCAGCAUGUUGUGAGGGUGAGGUCAGCACAUCAACUGAGUUGUCCACGGUUGAACCUGACCAGUGGAGCCCACUGGUCAAUGGCCGAGGGCUAAAUAAAAAUUAAAAUUUAAUUAAAUGAAAAGUUAACAGGGAUUGGCCCCACAUAUAAGUGACUCAUUUAGUUAACCGGAGUUAAUUAUCUUAAUGAAAUCACCAGCCUAAUUGAGUCAGGGACUGGCCCCACCUGUCACUGACCCAGAGAGGUCAACCUCUGCUCAGCGAGGCCAAAUCACCGGCGGCUCAACACCAACGAGGCCCGAGACGGAGGAGGGGCCCGGAAUCACCCUCCGGCGACCAAAACAACGGCGGAGAGGUUCUAUGCGAAGCGCGCGCUCGUGCACAUCCAACACAGCAAGCGUCAAGGGUUGCGAUCCACUGCAGCGACGACGGCGACAGCGUCCGUGGCGGCCGGAGCACCGCCUCGAGCAGGUGAUGGCUGCAGGGCAUGUAAAGGCUCGACGAUGGGCUCUACGGGACCGUGGGAGCUCUCUGAGCACGAUGUCGUGCUCAGACACAAGCCUUGGCUAAUGUGGUUGCAGCGUCGCCAUGGCCGGCGGCGUGGAUCUCUCGGCUCCGGUGGCUAUGUCAGCUAGGGUACUCAAACGAGCAGGCAAAAUUAGGGGAAAGGAUGAGUGGCUCACGGAGGGGCGAAUGGAGCCGAUUGCAUGGUCGGGGGAGGUCUGGAGCGGUCAAAUCGAUGCCGGCGGUCCUCGGCUACCGGCGACGAGGAUGGACUCGAUUGCAUCGCCUUGGGGCGUGGGAGCCUGAACCCAACGGCUUGACACUCCUCUUCGGGGCUAUGGACCUCUCGGACUUGCUUGGGGGAACGCCAAGUGCUCGGGUCCACGACGAACGGCGACGAUGCACUCGGUUCCAAGGUGGAAAACGAGAGAGAGAAGGGGAAAGGAAGCAGAGAGAGAGAAGAUUGACCUAGAGCCUCGUCCACAUCUUCUAGGCCGUGGGAUAAGGGUGGAGGAGGCGCCUCCAGCGCGAAGCAGGAGGUGGCACAGCCGGCGCCGUGUCGUCUCUCUCCCUCUGCCUACUGGCAGAGAUUGAAGACAGAGGCGACGUGGGUUGGGCCUGCUC